rnacentral:rRNA from 1 species
CUAUGCGCCUUGCCACGCCCGCUCAAGAAACUUAAAGGAAUUGACGGGACCCCGCACAAGCGGUGGAUCAUGUUGUUUAAUUCGAUGAUACGCGAAGAACCUUACCAGGUCUUGACAUCCCCCCGCGAUGCUUUAGAGAUAAAGCGGAGGUAUUCGGGGAGACAGGUGGUGCAUGGUUGUCGUCAGCUCGUGUCGUGAGAUGUUGGGUUAAGUCCCGUAACGAGCGCAACCCUUGUCCUUAGUUACCAGCACGUUAUGGUGGGCACUCUAAGGAGACUGCCGGUGACAAACCGGAGGAAGGUGGGGAUGACGUCAAGUCAUCAUGGCCCUUACGGCCUGGGCUACACACGUGCUACAAUGGUCGGUACAAAGGGUUGCCAAGCCGCGAGGUGGAGCUAAUCCCAUAAAACCGAUCGUAGUCCGGAUCGCAGUCUGCAACUCGACUGCGUGAAGUCGGAAUCGCUAGUAAUCGUGAAUCAGAAUGUCACGGUGAAUACGUUCCCGGGCCUU